GAGUUAAGGCUUAUGAUGUAAAUCAUAAAAGGGAGAAAGCAUCCUUGAAUAUAGGUAGCUGGGAAGAUGAUGAGUGGCCUCCCCAACGCAUUAUUAAUUAUUAUGGACCUGCUACUUGGGCAGAAGAUGAUACCUAUGGAUAUAGAACCCCAAUAUAUAUGCUCAACCGUAUUAUAAGACUACAGGCGGUGGUUGAGAUUAUCAC